rnacentral:rRNA from 1 species
UAGGGAAUCUUCCGCAAUGGACGCAAGUCUGACGGAGCAACGCCGCGUGAGUGAAGAAGGAUUUCGGUUCGUAAAACUCUGUUGUUAGAGAAGAACAGCGCAUAGAGUAACUGUUAUGCGUGUGACGGUAUCUAACCAGAAAGCCACGGCUAACUACGUGCCAGCAGCCGCGGUAAUACGUAGGUGGCAAGCGUUGUCCGGAUUUAUUGGGCGUAAAGCGAGCGCAGGCGGUCAAUUAAGUCUGAUGUGAAAGCCCCCGACUCAACCGGGGAGAGUCAUUGGAAACUGGUUGACUUGAGUGCAGAAGAGGAGAGUGGAAUUCCAUGUGUAGCGGUGAAAUGCGUAGAUAUAUGGAGGAACACCAGUGGCGAAGGCGACUCUCUGGUCUGUAACUGACGCUGAGGCUCGAAAGCGUGGGUAGCAAACAGG